AAAUAAGUGUAUAAGCUGACAGAGCACCAUGGAGUUAUGUGAACAGUGAGGACUAUCACUGCAGGACGUUACUAUGCACAGAGCUCUGGUUUGGUUUGACUAUGGCAAAUCUGCCUGUUCAACAGCCCCUCUAAAUAGGGAGUUUCUCAUUUUACAUUUUCCUCUUACCAAAUAACAGUGUCUUCUCUCGUAUCCAUUGUCUAUGAGGCUGUAAAUGGUAUAGUUAUACCUUUGGUGUUCUUAAUUGCCCAUCAAACUGUUCUGCCUUUAACACUUUUUGUUGUAAAUGUCAGAACAUGCAUAGUGACCUUUUUUCUAGCUGCAAGCCUCCAGAGAAGCAGGAGCAGCAGCUCUGAGAAACGUGGCCCAGAGAUUAUUUGAAAACUACCAAACGCAAUCUGAAGAAGUGAGAAAGAAGCAGGAGGACAGUAAACAAUUACUCCAGGUUAACAAGCUUGAAAAAGAACAGAAAUUGAAACAACAUGUUGAAAAUCUGAAUCAAGUUGCUGAAAAACUUGAAGAAAAACACAGUCAAAUUACAGAAUUGGAGAACCUUGUACAGAGAAUGGAAAAGGAAAAGA
rnacentral:lncRNA from 1 species